rnacentral:lncRNA from 1 species
GUGCCUUUUUGUUUUCACUACGGGAGCUCUUUGGAUGUGAAGCACACUGUGCUAGCGGUGGGUUAAUUCACCCCAUUGCACCCAACAAGGACGGGAGCUGAGCACCCUCCAGGUAAUGGGAAUUGAGCAGAAGGAGCUGCCCAAGGUCACUGAGCCAAGGGCUCCACCAACACUCCCUCAUGUGCAGGAACCUCUCCCAGUGCUCAUGUGUGGGGCCUCAUCAAAACUUCAGUCAAGGACAUGGGGUCACCUCCAAGGCAGGGGCUCGGCUCUGGGUCCAGCCCUGUGUGCAAGGCACCAGACCCUGCCAAAAUGCAGACCAGAAAGUACAUGCCACCCUCACUCAUUUUAGGCCCCUCACUACAAGAAAGACAGUGAGGCCCCGGAGCACAUUCAGAGAAGGGCAGUGAUGCCGUGAAGGGUCUGGAGCACAAGUCUUAUGCAGAGUGGCCAUGGAACUGGGACUGUUCAGCCUGGAGGAGUCUCAGGGGAGACCUCAUCCCUUUCUGCAACGACCUGAAAGGAAGCUGUGGCAAGACCCACAGCCUCCGAAUGUUCUUCAGAUUAUAUUUCCGCUGCCUAAAAUGCAUCAGCAGC